GCCUACUGUUACGGUUUAUGUUUAAAUGUAUCCCCAAGCCUCAUAUAGUCAUGGAGAGGGGGCUUUUGGGGGUGGCUGAGUCUAGCAUUUGUGACUGGCUUGUUGUCCAGCGCUGGGAUUGGUGUGAGUGCUGAGCCUGCCCAGGGGCAGGGAGCCAGCAUGCAAUGUAACAGAGGGAAGGAGGCUUGCUUUUCCUUUUUGCCCUUGUCACUUGUGGUCUCCAUGAACUGUUGUCCUCUGCCAAGCCACCCUGACUUGGAUCCAGCUGAAUAUGGACUGAAACCUCCAAAAACUAUAAGUUAAAUAAACCUAUCCUUCCCUAAUUUUGAUGGUCAAGUAUUUUGUCCUAGCAAUGAGAGAAAAGUAACCAAGACACUCACCUAGAAUAAAGCAGAAGUUAAAGAAGUGUCCUUUAUUUUAACGGAGAGUUAGUCUAUCCCAGCCAAGGACAUUUGUCUGGAAAUCACGGGCGAGCAGGCCCCUGGCUCUGGGGGACAAUGAGGGCAUGGAGAAGGAUUUUCACGCCAAGUGGAAAGACGUUGCUCUGAACAAAGCUUCCCCAAAGAGAGGUUCUUUAGGGACCCUGCCCUUUCUCCCUGAGAAAGAUCUCCCGCUCAAUAAAGUGAGAGAACUUUCAGACACAGAAAGUAGAAGAAAGUUGCUCAAUAAAUGUAUAAUAAUAAUCUAAUUCUGAAUUAUUACGCUGUACACACACAGAUGAACAAUUAGAAGACGACUAAUUAGAAGAAAGUUGAAUACCAGAUAAUCACUCAUAAAGGAGAAUAAACAUCAGCAUUUCUCUUUAGUCCAAAACAUGGUUUCUGAUCUUAGUCUCAGUGUUCAUUGACUGAGAAGGCCCAGUGAAGCCUCAUGCAAGGGCACCGCACCACUACACAGAAGCCAGAAAUGAAACGAGUUUGGGGCAGUGUUAUGGCCAUGACGUCCGGGCUCAUGAAGAUAGAAUUCUAUGAGUGAGAAAGAUGAGGAAGACAGGGAGAAAAUUUUUUUUUUGUCUUUUUCCUUUUUAUCGGUACCGGAGAUCAAACUUAUGACUGCCUGCUUGCAAGGCAGGCGCUUAUGCCACUGAGCUAAAUCCCCAGCCCCAGAAAAUUAUUUUAUAGGAUUUGUGAGCUUCUCUUCUCGUGUGUGAGCAGAUGGCUGUAAGGGGUACUUAGCCCCACAAUUCGCCCCACUGGAGGAAGUUAAUUAUUUGGCAGAAAAUCUUAAUACAUUCGUCAGGUGUAAUCAGGUUUGGGACACAGAAGUGUGAGAAAGGGACGUCAUUCAUUCAAUUGGCAAAUCUUUAUCAAGCACCUGACAUGGACAAGCCCCCUUCUGGAGGUGCCAGCGAGUAGAGCAAAGGGCCCAGGCCUGGUAGAGCUCAUACUUGGUAAUUCCUUGGUAUUCGGCGGAGUGGGAAGUAACGGGGAGUGAUAGGGUUAUAGUUAUUAGAAAUCUCAAAUAUAAGGGGGGAGGGUGGUGCACUCCUGCAAUCUUAGCACUCGGGAGGCUGAGGCAGAGGAAUCAUUGCAAGUUCAAGACCAGCCUGGGCUACAAAGUGAGCCCAAGGGCAGCCUGAACCACACAGUGAAACCUUGGUCUCCCCGCCUUCCCCCCACAAAAAAGAAAGAAAGCUGAAAUACAGAAUAAGGUUGAAAGGUGGGGAAAAUGAAAAUCACAUAAGUAAACCAGUGUCGCUUCGUUUGGGAGACACAGUUAAAGUACGACACUGAUAUAGUGUUCAAAUAAAUGAAGACUUGUGUCCGGGGAACUGUCUGAGAAUAGGACAGAAUGAACCAAGCCAAACAGAGGGAAGGAAAUCUAAACCCUAACAGAGGAGAGUGCCGCAGACCAGGAUGUCAGUGGAAGGGAAGACCCGGCAGGACUGGCUUUUCCAGAGAAACAGGAGUGCAGAGUAUCUCUCUUCCAAAUGCUCUGGAUUUUGGAUAUUUUCAUGUGUGCAUUGAGAUGGCUGGGGGAUGUGGACACAAAAGUCACUUGUUUCCUGGUAAGCUUACAUUGAAGCUAAAUUUUUAACAAAAUUUUUAAUGACUUCAUGCAUGCCAUAAAGUCUCCCAGAGUGCAGUUUUCCAUUUGUGACACCCCGUUGGCACUAAUAUCCUACUUUGGAGAAGUUUGGAUUUCCCAUUUUGGAUUAGGAAUCCUCAGUCUACACACACUGACAGACACACACACGACACACACACACAUGUGUUUGCAUGUGUGUUUUCUGUAACACAUGGGCUCGUGUGAUUGGGAGCCUGAGAAGCCCCAGGACCUGCAGCUGGCUGGCCUGGACCGAGGUGGCUGCAGGUGUAGUUCCAGCCUGUGGGCACAGGGCAGAGGACCAGGAGAGCUGAUGUGGGUCUAGUUUGAGCUAUAAAGCAGAAGACUAAUGACUCAGUUCAGACUGCCAGGCGGGGAGAGAAUUCUUUUAUUCUCAGCCUUUUGUUCUCUUUAGGCCUUCAGGGGCCAGGAGGAGCCUGCUGUGUCAGGGAGGGUCGCCUGCUCUCUCCCCGUGCACCGAAGCGUGUGUCAACUUCACCAAGAAGCCUGCCCAACACGCCCCGAGUGCUGUGUGACCAAAUAGCAGGCACCUCAUGGGCCAGUCCAGUUGACACACAGAAUUAACCAUCCACUGGAACUUGCAGCUAAGAGUUUGCCUUAAAUCUCAGAGGAGAAUUUCCACUUGGACUUUUCAAGAGGAAAAAUCCACUUGAAACUAAAAUUGCUAGGACUUUGGCAACUGUUAGAGAUAAACUGAAUGCAUCUUGCAUAAAAGGAUUCAUAUGAGUGUUUUGGGGGCCAGGGACAGAAUGUUAUAUCUAUCUAGGUGUCACCCUAUAAAGCCUCACAUACUGAUAAGUGAGGCUUUUGGGGGAUGGCUGGACAACGGGUGUGUGAUAUUGGAUUGUGGGUGUAGAAUAGCUAGUUUAUCAUAAUGGGAAGGCAUCACCUAAUAAGGCGUGUAGCCUGGGUGGGAAAAAAGGGAAGACAGAAGGAAAAUGCUUCCUUUUACCUGCCAUGCCAUAGACUGUUUCUCCUCUACCACUCUUCUCUGCCAUGCCACCCUACCUUGAAACCAGCUGCCUAUGGAUUAAAACCUUUACAACCAUGUGAGCUAAAAUAAACCUCUCCUUUCACUUGUGGGCAUUGGGUAUUUUGGCUCAGCAAUGAGAAAAUAACCAAGUCAGGACCUUUGGGUCUUUCAAACUCAUACGGAAUUCCUCUAUGGAUAUAUGCUGAAUUCUUGGGCUUUUUGGGUACUGAGGAAUGAAUCUAAAAAUUUCUAAAGGCAAAUGAAACCACCCACAGGCUAAUGUUUUAAAAAAACAAGAAAUCUCAGUGGAUAGAAUCUGAUUUCAAGCACAUGAAUAUUUUUCCCUUUAAAACCUUUGCCAGAUUUUAAGCUUUAUAGGACUAGAGGGCUGGAGAGCUGGUUUGAAAUCCUCUGAAGGACAGAGAUAGAUUUUCCACAAUUUUUCCAGAUUGAGGGAAUUUAUGUAUACCCACCAGGUUCUCCAUCAAAAGUGUAGGAGGGCUAAACCCAAAGGGUAAAGGGAAACCAAAGCUUUGUUGAUGCAUAGUAAAACAACCACCAAAUCUCAAUCCAGUUCAAUUUUUAAAAAAUUUUAUUUAAAGAAAACAGAAAACAAACAAAACAGAAAAUAGGUAGAAAUAAUACAUGUGUUCAGAGAAAAACAUAAACAGUAAGAAAUCAUUAGUUGAUGUUUACAUAUUGUCAUUUUACAAAUAGUUGUUCAAGAUACAAAAAUGGAACUUGUAAAGUGGGAAUUCAAACAGUGAGACUGCAAACAGUUCUGUUCAGCUGUCCAACAAAAACUUAGUAACAUGGUUGUCAAUCCUAUACACUUAAACAUACAUGCAGUUAUUCAUAUCUUCAUUUAUGUUUAGAUUAAACAAACUAAAGCAGGUUAAAAUCAUUCUGAACAAAGAAUAAUUGCUGGAUUUCACAUCAUGACACUCUGUGAUCAGCACUGGGUACUGUAGUAUCUUUUUAAAAAAAUUUAAUUAAAGAAAGACAAAACAAAACAGAAAAUGGGUAGAAAUAAUACAUAAUUUCAAAGAAAAAAAUAAACAGUAAGAAAUCACUAGUUGAUGAUUACAGAUUGUCUUCUUCCAAAUAGUUAUUCAAGAUACUAAAGUGAAGCUUAUAAAUUGGGGAUUCAAACAGUGAGACUGCAACCAUCUGUUCAACUAUCCAACAAAAACUUAGAACUUAGGUUAUCAAUCCUAUACACCUAAACAUACAUGUAGUUAUCCAUAUCUUCAAUUAUGUUGAGAUUGAAUAAACCCAAGCAGGCUAAUAUCACUCUGAACAAAGAAUAAUAUUAUUGCUGGGUGUCACAUUAUGAGACUCUAGGAUCAGCACUGGGUAUUUUAGUGUCUCUUUUUCUUCAAAGUAUCUGUUCAUUUCAUCAUGUGUCAUAUGAUCAGUUCUCAUAAACUGUUUAUAGAUUCUACACACCCAUGAGUCUUAACAUGUAUUGCUAUCUUUUCUAUAUUAGAGGGAGAAACAAAACAAAGCAAGGCAAAACAAAACAUAUUCCUAUAACCACAUGAAACGAAAUAAACAUAUAAGACCAUUGUACAAAGAGUUCUACCAUGGUUCCUGUGUUGUCUCUUGUUAUCGCCAAUAGAAUUGGUAAUAUCAUAAGACAUAGUAUAAUUGAAUAUGUCAGCUGUAUUAACUGUAUUAAUAAAAACACAACUUUGUAUAUAGUAUAGAACUUCAAAAACUGGCAGUUAUCAAACUAGAAUGUGUAUCAUAGAGUCUUGUCAUCUUCAGUGUAAUUGCCUAUACUCUCAGACUUGAUACUAUUAAUCAUAUCAGUUUUGAAUAAAAUCUUCUCUGCCUCA